AUGCUCCGGGGCAAAAAGGCCGGCGGUUCUGCGAGACGGUGCGCGCUGCCCCCGUGGCCGGCGUCGAAGUCCCGCGGUUGCCCCGCAGGCGGGGAAGGCACGGCUGGGCCCCCUCUAGCAGGCCGGGCGCACGGGCACCUGCAGCAAGAUGACCUGGCGGUUCUCCGACGGGUGGCACUUGUUGAUGUGGCGGGUCAGGCCCGGCGAGCUGUAGAAGGUGGCCGGGCAGUACUUGCAGGGAAAGGCCUGGGCGGCGUGGAGCAGGCGCAGGUGGCGCUCCUGGGCGCUCUUGCCGGCGAAGGGCUCGCCGCACACGGGGCACGGGUGGCACUCCCCGGGCAAGCUCAGCGGGCUGGGGCGGGCGCCCGCCUCCUCCGGGGCGCAGGCGUCCGGGGGCUCCCGCGCCGAGGCCGGCCCGUCCAGCAGCUCGUGGUGCAGGGGCAGGUGCUUGCGCAGGGCGCUCUGGCGGCGGAAGCGCUUGGCACAGCGCGGGCACGCGAACUCCUCGCCGCCGCCGCCGCCGUCGGGCUCUCCUCCGCUGCCGGGGCUCGGCGUGUCCCUCUCGCUGCCGCUGCCGCCGCCGCCUCCUCCUCCCUUGGCGGGGGGCUCGUCGGCCGCAGCCUUGGGCUUGGCGGCGCUGGGAGGCCGCGGCUUGUGCCAGCGGCGGUGCGAGGCCAGGUUGGCCGGGCAGCUGAAGAGCUUGUCGCACUCCGGGCAGCGGUACUCGACGCGCACGAUGCGCGAGCACUUGUGCUGCGCCAGGGCCAGCGGGUCGGGGUAGCGCUCCUUGCACAGCUGGCAGAUGAACUCGCCCAGCGGCUGCGCGCCGCCCGCGCGCGAUCCUCCGCCGGCGCCCGCCUGGUGCUGCUGCUGCUGCUGCGGAGCCGUCGAGGCGGGCUCGGGGGGGCCCUCUUUGAUGCGCAGCCCCAGCACCGGCGACGUCGUCACCUCAUCCUCGAAGUGCAGCUUGCGCGCCGCCUUGGCCUUCCGGCCCUGAGGCCGCUUGGACGCGCUGGGGCUGGGCCCAUGGCUGCGCUGCGGGGCCACCGCCGGAGCCGGGGAGGGCGGCGGCGGCGGGGCGGCGGCGAUGGCCGCGACCGCCCAGAGCUUGAGCUCGGCCCCGGGGCCCAGGAGCAGAGGCUCGGGCGCCGCCGGAAAGGACUCGGCCGAGAGCGGCGAGCCCAGGUGCAGGCUGCGCUCCUCGCUGACGGCCCGCGCGGGGCUGCGCAGGGGCUGCGGCGGGGCUGCGGGGCCGUCGGGCGUCCCGAAGUGCGGCGCCGCCGCGGGCGCCAGCAGGAGAGGCGCCUCGGCGGGCUGCGAGGCCGAGAGCGGAGCGGGGAUCGGCGGGGGCGCCAGGAGCUGCGCCGGGUCGCCUCCCUCGGCGGCCGCCGACGCCGGGCAGCAGCAGCGGGUCCGGUAGGAGAUGGGCGUGGGUCUGCGGCUCCUCUUCACCAGGAAACCGCGGGGCAUCCUCGGGCGGCUCCGGGAGGUGCCAAGGCGCCUGCCUGCCUCAGCCCGGGAGCGCCGGCGCCCCAAUCCGGGUCUCCUCCCGCUCGUCGCCCGUGCUCCCUCCGCAGGCUCGCCUCGCCCGCGCCUCCUUCCCGCCUGGCUCGCUGGCUCGCCCCCACCAGCGCGGCUCCUCCGCCGCCGCCGCCUCCUCCUGGCCGCGCUGCCCCCCAGUCGCCCAGCCUCGCGCCCGCUUUUUAA
ensembl:lncRNA